rnacentral:rRNA from 1 species
UCUGAAAAAUUAUAGAAGGUCCAGCCUGCCCAGUGACUUAGUUAAACGGCCGCGGUACCCUAACCGUGCGAAGGUAGCACAAUCACUUGUUCUUUAAAUAAGGACUAGUAUGAAUGGCAUCACGAGGAUUAAACUGUCUCCCCCACCUAAUCAAUGAAACUGACCUCCCCGUGAAGAAGCGGGGAUAAAUAUAUAAGACGAGAAGACCCUAUGGAGCUUUAAACAUAACACCACCCACCUAAGCCCACUUCAUAAAAAACAGGUGAAGCUUGUGUACGUUUUCAGUUGGGGUGACUGCGGAGCAAAAUAAAACCUCCACGAUGAAAUCUCUAAUCCAAGAACAACAAUUCAAAGAAUCAACAAAUUGACAUUAAUUGACCCAAAUAAUAAUUUGAUCAACGAAC